rnacentral:rRNA from 1 species
AACGAACGCUGGCGGCAGGCUUAACACAUGCAAGUCGAACGCCCCGCAAGGGGAGUGGCAGACGGGUGAGUAACGCGUGGGAAUCUACCCAGUUCUACGGAACAACACAGGGAAACUUGUGCUAAUACCGUAUACGCCCCAAGGGGGAAAGAUUUAUCGGAAUUGGAUGAGCCCGCGUUGGAUUAGCUAGGUUGGUGGGG